UGCAGCUGAACCUGCUGGUGAAGGCCCCACAUCCAGGACUGAGGCUCUGGGAGAUGCUGAGGGUGUGUCUACAGGGAGGAGAUUCAUACGUACAUUGGUGGUUAUUGCCAACAAGACCAGUUUGCAUGGCAGGGUUCCUCCGAAGAGGAAGAUGCAAGACACAACAGAGAAGAUAUCCCUGGAACCAUCCAAACAGAUGAGGCAAGUGCUGAAGAAAAUGCUGCAGGGAGGACAAGG